rnacentral:lncRNA from 1 species
GGGAAGCUAAACAACGUUUACAACAGGAAUUAUGCUCAGUGCGAAAAGAAACGUUGGGGGAAGCUCAAGAAUGUUUAUUACAGCAACAACACUCUCAUGUUUUGAAGUCUCUAGGCAUCAUUAGGGUUAAUACUGAAGUUAACCCUAAAGAAGAAUGUCAAGUCAUUAUCUUUACAAAUGAUAAGGUUGUCAAGGAGGAAAAGAUAGAAGAAGAAGAGCUAGAGAUGUAUGAAGAGGAAACAAAAACAGAAAAAGUUGUUGAUGCGGAAAAGAUAGAGGAAAAUGAAGCAGAAAGGUUGACUGAGGGAGAGAAAGAUGAGGAGAAAGAAAAAAUAGUGGUUGAGAAAAAAGAAAAAAAUAAGAAAAUAAGAAAAAAAGAAAAAAGAAAGUAGAAGAAGGAGAAGGUUGAGAAAAAGAGGAAGAGAGGAAAGAAGAAAAGAUCACAUGAAAAACCUCUUCCUCAUAAAAAGAAAAAUCAUAGGAAAGGAAAGAAGUUCAAGUUGGCGAUCUUCAAGAAAUUGGAGAUUAAAGUUCCUAUGGUUGAAACAUGGAAGCAUGUGCUUGGUAUUCUCAACUUUAUGAAN